rnacentral:rRNA from 1 species
CCUACGGGAGGCAGCAGUGAGGAAUAUUGGUCAAUGGACGAGAGUCUGAACCAGCCAAGUAGCGUGAAGGAUGACUACCCUAUGGGUUGUAAACUUCUUUUAUAUGGGAAUAAAGUGUUCCACGUGUGGGAUUUUGUAUGUACCAUAUGAAUAAGGAUCGGCUAACUCCGUGCCAGCAGCCGCGGUAAUACGGAGGAUCCGAGCGUUAUCCGGAUUUAUUGGGUUUAAAGGGAGAGUAGGUGGAUUGUUAAGUCAGUUGUGAAAGUUUGGGGCUCAAACUUAAAAUUGCAGUUGAAACUGGCAGUCUUGAGUACAGGAGAGGUGGGCGGAAUUCGUGGUGUAGCGGUGAAAUGCGUAGAUAUCACGCAGAACACCGAUUGCGAAGGCAGCGCACUGGACUGCAACUGACACUGAGGCUCGAAAGUGUGGGUAUCAAACAGGAUUAGAUACCCUAGUAGUC